AACGAACGCUGGCGGCGCGCUUAACACAUGCAAGUCGAACGCUCUGGUUUCGACCAGGGAGUGGCGGACGGGUGAGUAACGCGUGGGAACCUGCCCUUGGGUUCGGGACAACCGGGGGAAACUGCGGCUAAGACCGGAUAUCCCCGUGAGGGGAAAGACUUGUCGCCUGAGGAUGGGCCCGCGUCGGAUUAGCUAGUCGGUGGGGUAACGGCUUACCGAGGCGACGAUCCGUAGCUGGUCUGAGAGGAUGGCCAGCCACACUGGGACUGAGACACGGCCCAGACUCCUACGGGAGGCAGCAGUGGGGAAUCUUGGACAAUGGGCGAAAGCCUGAUCCAGCGACGCCGCGUGGGUGACGAAGGCCUUCGGGUUGUAAAGCCCUUUUGCCGGGGACGAUGAUGACGGUACCCGGAGAAGAAGCCCCGGCUAACUUCGUGCCAGCAGCCGCCGUAAGAC
rnacentral:rRNA from 1 species